rnacentral:snRNA from 1 species
AUAUUUAUCUGUUCUUGAACACACUAGGAUUACGAAAAUGGUUUUCUCAGAACGAGACUUAUUUAUCGGACUUUGGAUGUGCUGAUCCCCGCGAUUUCCCCUAUAUGUGGAAUACUUGACUGCGUAAUUUGUGCUUUUGGUGGCUUGCACUCGCGCUUUCCUUUG